rnacentral:lncRNA from 1 species
AGACCGCCUGGCCUUGGGUGGAUCGGGUCUCUGGGCAGAGCGUGUGUCCGGCAGAGCUAGGACCGGAAAAAGCCACUCUAGGUCUAGGUUAGGAGUGAUGACAGUUAAAAGAUAUAUAAGGAAAAGAAGGAAAGGAUCGUUUCUGUAUAAAACGAGCUAUUUUUGCAUAUCGAGCGCAUAAGUUUUAUAACUUAGGUGUCUGUUUAUGGAGAGGGUGGGAUACUACCUUUUAGCUCAAGGAGUGCACAAAACGGUAUCAUGAAUUCUGCUCUUUUGAUUCAAACACCCAACUUUGAAGAAUCGCUCAUGGUGCUUGUAAAACACGUAUCCCCAGAUCCCUCCCUAGACCUAUCGAACAACUCCAACGGUCUCGGGAAUGUGCGUGGUUUCUGAAAAGCUUGGGAAGCAAGACCUGACUAGACCCCCAAAUCUGAUAUUGGCUGAAUGGCCGACCAAUGGAGUGCAUAAGAAGUCUGGAUACAAAGGCAGCCCAAUUUCUAGAAAUGUAUACCAGCCAUGAAGAGAUAAAGCUCCAAGAGGAGAUUUCUCUUUCUGGUAUAAGGAUUUAAACAAAACCUAGAAUGUCGCAGUACUCGAAGUAUCCAAAACAACUGAAAAAUGAAGAAGAAUAAAAGAAGAAUCCAAAACAAGCAAGAGGGAUAUAUCACUGCAGCUAGAAUAUUCAUGCCAAUCCACAGCAAAGUUCUACAAACUAAAGGAUUUGUGCAAUUGGGGUCAAGACCUUGACUAAAACAUCUAUCAUGUGCUGAAUGGUCUAAAUUGUCAAGUUUGUCCAACCAAAUGUGGUAGGGAUUAGGGGUGUGAGAAAACAUUUUAAAUGGUCCAUUUUCAAGUCAUAAUAAACCUAAGGACUGGCAGCCAGCCUGCGGAUGUAACAAACUGCACAGCUCAUGCACCUAGAAGGUCAUGAUAAGUGAACAGACUGUAGAAGAGGGGUCAGCCCAUAAAAGGAAAGAAAGUUUCGUUAUUGGGAAAUCGAAACUUAAGUGGGGAAGGGGACGAGGAUAUAACCUUCUAAGGGUGAUAAUAAAACUUACACAUCUGGGAAGAUUGUAACUCCACAGUACUCAACCAAUGAAGAACUGGGGGAGGGACUUGUGUGCUAGGAGAUAAAUUGCCUGUCGUAACUGCCCCAGGUGUGCCUGCCUACCACACACGGGAUGGUGUCUCCAAGUCCAUUUUUUGGGUUUGCAUGGGUGAAUGUGUGUUUCUCACAAACCUGGGGGCCCAACCAGGAUCUCUGUGCCUGCAUGGAGUGGAACUCCGGUCAAGGGGGAGACACAUCCCAUCAAUUUAGGUGGCCUGCUCUGUCUGGGUAUUCCAGCACCCGGCAGAGGCCAUAGACAAACCCAAGACUGUUAUUCCAGAGGCAGCAGAGACAACACAGGGAGAAAAGCACACACUGCAGCAACCAGGCAACCUUGUGCAGGAGCCCAGGUAGGAAAAUUAGACUGUAAGUACUGCCUUAGUGGUUGGGCAUUUUCAGAGGUCAAGUGUGUGCAACUGAGAUGUAUCUUAGAUAUGAAGCAAGUGCGGAGUCCCAAUCCACGGUUCCGUUCUCCUGCGACGCAAACAGCCAGAGACGGACAAACCGAUGCUCAGGGUGUGCAAGAAACCUCUAGUAGCGCGGGUCGAGUACACAGGGAAGAAAGCUCAGACAUAGAGGCUGAUCAAAAAUGGGAAACAGAAAUCCUAAACCUAGGGUACAAAGCAAAGAGGGAGCCAAAGAGACUCCCUCUGACAUUCCCCCAGAUAGUCCUUUGGGGAGAAUGCUGAAGGUUUGAAGGGACAACCCUUGAACCAGGCAAAAGGAAAAGCAAAAGAUAAGGCAUCGCUGUUUUAUCUGGCCCAAAGACCCUAUUCAUAAGCCUUCGAUCUUUUUUGGCCUAAGUUUGGCUCAGAUGAGGAUUGGGUGUGCCAAGCUUUAAUUCUCUAUGUAAAUGAUAAAACUCCAUCCUCACAAGAAGAGGUAGGUUACACUCUGCUGGAUCAAAAAAUUAGCUCCCAUGUUCCCCCUCAAAGAAGAAGAAAAAGAACCUAAUAAAAAGCCCUCACCCAGUGAAAGGCCCUGGAACCACCUAUCACGCAUGCCCCCUCCAUACAUCUCACAAAAUAGUGGACAGGAAAAUCAAGGGGCAGCAGGAGGGUUAGAGGAAGAUAGACCUGGAGACCACAGGAGAGCCAAACCAACUGCUCCUUUAAAUCCUUAUCCAAAUUUAAGAAAAGAAUUAGAACAGUGUAAGAGGGAUACUGAGAACUUCCCUAUCCCUUCCACACAGCAGGCAUCUAGCAAUGUUCCCUCUUAGGGAAGCUCCCAUGGGACACAGAGAUAUUGGCUUUGUAAAUGCUCCUCUUACAAGUACUGAAGUUAAGAAUUUCAAGAAGGAAAUGAAAUCACUCCUAGAGGAUGCCCUCAGUUUAGCAGUCCAGCUGGACCAAUUCGUAGGACCCAGCUUUUACACCUGGGCUGAAAUGAUAUCUAUCAUGAAUAGCCUAUUCACAGGAGAAGAAAGGGGAAUGAUUAAGAGAGCAGCCAUGACCAUCUGGGAGAGGCAACACCCUCCUGGGCAAGAAGUCUUGCCAGCUGAACAAAAAUCUCCAAACGUUGACCCCAAAUGGGAUAAUAAUAAUCCCAGGGACCAAGCCCAAAUGCAGGACCUCAGAGAAUAAUUAAAGGGAUCAAAGAGUCCACUCCUAGGACACAAAAUGUCUUAAAGGCAUUCGAGAUUCAACAAGAAAAAGAGAAAAUUCCCUCCGCAUUCCUGUAGAGGCUCAAAAAUCACAUGAGAAAAUUAGAUCCGGAGGACCCAGUAGGGCAAGGCCUUUUGAAGGCUAACUUUGUAACAUAGAGCUGGCCUGACAUUACAAAAAAAUUAGACAAGAUUGAUGGAUAGAAUAAAAAACUGAUUAAGGAAUUAUUCAGGGAAGCUCAGAAGGUCUUUGUAAGGACAGAGGAAGAGAAGCAAAAACAAAAAGCAAAAAUCAUGGUUUCCACUGUGGAAGAGGUAGUCAGAAAAACGUUAAAUCAAAAUCCCCCUCAAAGGAGAGAAGGGAAUGAUAGAUUCUGACAUAGAGAAAGAAGGGAAACGCAGGAAAAAGCUCCUAAGAGUGGAUGUUACGAGUGUGGAAAGCCAGGGCAUUUUAAGAGAAUGUCCUGAAUAGAAAAAAGAAGACCCCAAUAGCAAAGACUUGGAACCAACCCAAAUGUCCAACAAUGAUAGAAUGGAUUAAGAACACCAUGGAAUACUAUGCAGCCAUAAAAAAGGAUGAGUUCAUGUCCUUUGCAGGGACAUGGAUGAAGCUGGAAACCAUCAUUCUGAGCAAACUAUCGCCAAGGACAGAAAACUAAACACUGCAUGUUCUCACUCAUAGGUGGGAACUGAACAAUGAGAACACCUGGACACAGGGUGGGGAACAUCACAUACCAGGGCCUGUCGUGGGGUAGGAGGAGGCGGGGGAUAGCAUUAGGAGAUAUCCUAAUGUAAAUGACCGGUUAGUGGGUGCAGCACACCAACAUGGCACAUGUAUACAUAUGUAACAAACCUGCAUGUUGUGCACAUGUACCCUAGAACUUAAAGUAUAAAUCAAAAAAAAAAAGAGGAAGAAAAGGUAAUCCCCCUCAUGACCAUUAAUGAAGACUAUUGGGGUCAGAGGUUCCUUCUGAGUAGGUCCCACUAGGAACCCUUGAUAAAUUUGAAGGUGGGACCUGAGGAAAAAGAAGGGACAUUUUUGGUUGAUACUGGGGCGGCUUGCUCCUCCCUAAUUCACCAAGGGGUACUGAACCAAGGAAAAAUUGACAGUAUCAGGGAUUAAAAGGGAGAGAUUUCAGGUUCCAAUAUUCAAGAAAAUGUUAAUUAGAUUGGGACCAGAACGAACUGAGAGGUCACUCUUAUAUGUUCCCAAAGCAGAAACUAACCUCCUGGGUGGAGACCUGAUUGUGAGAUUGGGUUUAGAAUUAGGAAUACAGGCAGAACAAUUAAAAGUCAUAAUGGGCCUCCUAAUAAAGGAGGAAGAAAGACAAAAUAAUCCCUAUGUGUCGAUUAGAAAAAGGCAACAGCAGAGGGUUAAAAAUCACACCCUUACAGACUGAACUAAAACAACCAGGAGAACUAGUUUGCAGAAAACAAUAUCCCAUUUCUACUGAAGGGAGAAAAAGGCUCCAACCAGUAAUAGAGGAAUUAAUUAAAGAUGGACUAUUAGAACCCUGCAUGUCACCAUACAAUACUCCAAUUCUCCCAGUCAAAAAGCCUGAUGGGUCGUAUAGAUUGGUGCAAAAUCUAAGGACUAUAAAUCAAAUUGUCCAGACCUGCCACCCUGUGGUGCCCAACCCCUACACCCUCCUUAGUAAGAUACCCUAUGAACAUAAGUGGUUCAGUGUGGUAGAUCUAAAAGAUGCAUUCUGGGCAUGUCCCCUAGACCUUAGGAGCAGGGACCUCUUUGCCUUUGAAUGGGAAAAUCCUACAACUGGGAGAAAACAACAAUACCACUGUACUGUGCUGCAAGAAGGCUUCACGGAAGCCCCAAACUUAUUUGGUCAAGUCUUAGAAAAAGUCCUGGAGGAAUUCCAACCUUCCAGGGAAACCCAGUUGUUACAAUAUGUAAAUGAUCUUUUAAUUUCUGGGGAGAGGAGAGCCAAGGUAUCAGAAACCACUAUAAUAAUUUCCUAGGAGAGAGGGGAUUGCAAGUCUCUAAAAACAAACUGCAGUCUGUAGAAAAAGAAGUUAAAUAUUUAGGACACCUGAUUAGUGAAGGAAAGAGAAUAAACCCAGAGAGAAUAUCAGGAAUAGAGGGGUCUACCUUUUCCUAAGACCAAGAGAGAACUCUGAAAAUUUUUAGGUUUAACUGGCUGUUGUAGGUUAUAGAUUAAGUCAUAUGCUCAAAAGACAAAGAUUGUGUAUCUGAAACUACUAGAGGAGGAACCUGAUUCCUUGCAAUGGUCCCCAGAAGAAAUUCAGGCAGUGAAAGAACUAAAACAGGCCCUCAUUACAGCCCCGGCCCUAGUCCUCCCAUCUUUAGAGAAACCAUUCCAUCUGUUUGUAACAGUAGACCAGGGCAUGCCCCUUGCGGUGCUCACUCAAACCUGGGGAGGGAAGAGGCAACAUAUUGCUUUUGUCUCCAAGCUUCUUGAUCCUGUCUCUCUCGGGUGGCCCGAAUGUGUACAAGCAGUAGCUGCCACAGCCCUGCUGGUAGAGGAGAGUCGAAAGCUAUCCUUUGGUGGGGCCCUAAUAGUAAGCACCCCACACCAGGUCAGGAAUAUAUUAAAUCAAAAAGCCGGGAGAUGGUUACUGGAUUCUCAGAUUCUAAAAUAUGAAGCCAUAUUACUAGAAAAAAAAGAUUUGGUCGUAACAACAAAUACUUGCCUGAAUCCAGCCAGUUUCCUAUACAAAGGAGAGAACAAAGAGCCAUCAGACCAUAACUGCUUAGAUAUCACUGAAUACAAAAUCAAAGCUAAACCUGACCUUAGGGAAGCUCCACAACAUGAUGGGAUAAGGCUGUUUGUGGAUGGGUUGUCCCAAGUGGAUAGAUGGCAAAGAGAGAUAAUGGUUAUGCUAUCACUGAUGGAAAUAAACACUCCUUAUGUGAGAAAGGUAGAUUACCUAAUGGUUGGUUGGCCCAAACCUGUGAAUUAUAUGCUUUUAACCAGGCGCUAAAGCUCCUUGAAGGCCAAGAAGGCACUAUAUUCACUAAUUCUAAAUAUGCCUAUGGGGUGGUACACACUUUUGGAAAAAUCUGGACAGUGCAGGGCCUAAUAAAUAGCAGGGGAAAAGAAUUGGUACAUGGGGAACUGGUCAAACAGGUUUUAGAAAGCCUCCAGCUUCCAGCAGAGGUUGCCAUAGUUCGCAUAAAUGGUCAUCAGAAAGGUAACACUAUAGAAGCUGUAGGAAACAAGCUUGCAGAUAAAGCUGCUAUGCAAGCCUCCCUGGAGGAAGAAAUUAGACUAUUUAGCCUGAUCCCAGACAUCCCUAAGGUAGUAUUAAGGCCCCAGUUUACCAGAAAGGAGAAGGAAGAAUUAGGAUAGGGGUCACACAAACUGAAAACGGGAAGUGGGUACUUCCUGAUGGGAGAGAAAUAAGUAAACCCCUGAUGAGAGAACUAACGUCUGUAUUACACAAAGGGAGUCAAUGGGGACCCCAGGCUCUGUGUAAUACAAUACAUAGGAAUGAUGAGUGUAUAGGGAGUUACACUUUUGCUAAACAAGUACGUGGAAGCUGUGUAACUUGUCAAAGGAUAAACAAAAAGGUGAUUAGAAAACAGGCCACAGGAGGAAGACCUCCCAGACUAAGACCAUUUCAAAGCAUUCAAAUAAAUUUCACAGAAAUGCCCAAAGUAGGAAAACUAAAGUAUUUACUGGUGAUCAGAGAUCACCUUUCUGGCUAGGUGGAAGUCUUUCCACUCCCAACAGCCACUGCUGGGAAUGUGGUCAAAAUAAAAUUAGAACAGAAUGUACCUAGAUUUGGCCUGGUGGAAAAUAUUAAUUCAGACAAUGGGAGCCACUUUACCUCAAGGGUAUUAAGGGGAAUUAUGGAAGGUUUACAAAUUAGAUGGGAUUAUCACACUCCUUGGUAUCCCCCUUCCUCUAGAAAAGUAGAAAGAAUGAAUCAAACUCUCAAAAAGCAUAUCACCAAACUAAUCUUAGAAACUAAAAUGCCUUGAAUGAAAUGUCUCCCAAUAGCACUCCUCAGAAUUAGGACAGCCCCAAGAAAAGACUUGGGAUUGUCCCCCUACGAGUUAUUAUAUGGGCUCCCAUAUUUGGGCAGAGCUACAGAUCUUCCUACUUUGGAAACCAAGGAUCAAUUCUUAAGAAAUUAUAUACUGGCCAUAUCCUCUACCCUGUCAUCCCUUAGGUUAAAAGGACUUCUGACUCAAACUCUUCCUCUUGAGUUCACAGUUCACCAUUUCCACCCUGGUGACUUGGUGCUGAUUAAGACUUGUUAAGAAGACAAGCUCCACCCAACCUGAGAAGGUCCCUAUGAAGUGCUCCUGACCACUAAGAUGGCCGUGCAAACGGCUGAACAGGGGUGGACUCACUGUACUCAAGUCAAGGGACUGGUAAAAGAGACCUCGGAAGGGAAGGAACAAGACCAGUGGAAAGUGCAUGGAUCACCUGUGCUACGGGAGGACCUCAGGCACAGGUGGUUCCAUUUCCCCUAGGAUGGGAUACUGAUCCUGAAGAAGUGGAUUGCACGUUGGCUCUAUACCAGGACAAGGAUGCAUGGGGAAACAAGACUUAUAAGAGUCUGUCACUGCUCUUUCCCACAUUGCAGAGGUUAACUUUAAGUAACCCUUAAAGUUAACUCUGAGAAAAAUCUAAAAAGAAAACAUGGGCUGGCCCCAUUUCUGGAAGUUAAUAUGGCUGAGAUGGCCUACUACGCAAAGAGCAGAAGGUCAAAAUGGAAACUUGCAGGCAACUCCUCCCUACCCAAUCAGGUUUGUAAUCUAUGUAACCAAGAUGGUAGCACCCCAGACUAUAAGAUUCGAUGCCUGCCAGGUCUCACCUUGUGGGAAUUUUGAAACUCAGAGAUAGUUCUCACAAGUGAAUAAACAUCUUUGCCCUGAACCAGAUACAGAUUACAGUAUGGCAUUACCAUGCCCCAGCUGGGAUGAUGUAUGGUGAACCACCCAAUUCAGGGUUGGACAGUAAACACGGGGUGGGUAACUCCGAGCUGAAGACACUUAAAGAAUAAACUACAUCUGUCCAAGGGCUCCUUGCCAAAUAACUGCCAAAAUUUAGAACGCAACCCUAUACUCAUUGCCAUUAGCAAUCCAGCCACUCUAGGCCAAGAACCAAAAGUAGUGUCUCAGGUAUAUACGUGAGGGGCAGACAUCACAGGGAAAGACCCCAUAGGGUGAUUUGUUCUCAAACUAAUAAAAAACUCAACCUCUCAUUUGCCUGGAACUACUCCAACUCCAGACCCUAAUAAACACUUUAGUCUGCCAAAUAAUAACCCUAAAAGGUAAAAAUAAUUGAGGUAAAGGAUUUAAGGCAAACCUUAGAAAUUGAGACAGGGUGCAGGGAUGUAAACGCCUGGGUCAAAUGGAUCAAAUUUUCGGUACAAGCCUUCAACAAGAGUGACUGCUAUGCGUGUGCUACGGGAGGACCUCAGGCACAGGUGGUUCCAUUUCCCCUAGGAUGGGAUACUGAUCCUGAAGAAAUGGAUUGCAUGUUGGCUCUAUACCAGGACAAGGACGCAUGGGGAAACAAGACUUGUAAAGAGUCUGUCACUGCUCUUUCCCACAUUGCAGAGGUCAGAUCCCAAAGCAAUCCCCUCAUUCUCUCUAGGGAAUAUGAACCACUCCUCUUGCCUCUCUAGAUAGGGGGCAGAGUUCAAUAAGCCCGUGGGAAAACUCUCAACUUGUACGCACAUCCUAAACAUCACUGGUAAGUCAGGCGAUGGCAAUCACUCGGCUCUCCAUAUACCCCAGGCUAACGUCUGGUGGUACUAUGGGAAAAGGAACCUCCCCAACUUGUUACCAUCCAACUGGACCGGGACUUGUGCUUUAGUCUAAUUGGCCAUUCCCUUCACCCUGGCAUUCCAUAAGAUACCUGAAAACACACACGGCCACUGAAAGCAGAGAGAUUUGACAAACUCUUUUAAUGUCAAUAUAUAUGUUGACUCAAUAGGAGUCCCUAGGGGAGUGCCGAAUAAAUUUAAGGCCCAAAACCAAAUAGCUGCUGGGUUUGAGUCAGCACUCUUCUGUGGUCAACUAUUAAUAAGAAUGUGAACUAGAUUAACUACAUCUAUUAUAAUCAACAAAGAUUCAUCAAUUAUACUCAGGACACCCUCAAAGGGAUGGCUAGCCAGUUAGAUGCCACCAGCCCAAUGGCCUGGAAAAACAGGCUUGCACUAGACGUAAUACCAGAAAAAGGGGGUGUAAGUGUUAUGCUGGGUGGGAAACGUUAUACUUUCAUUCCCAACAAUACUGCCCCAGAUGGGACCAUCACAAAAGCUUUACAAGGACUGACAACUCUAGCCAACGAACAGGCAGAAAAUGCUGGAAUUAACAACCCAUUUACGGGUUGGCUAAAUGGUUGGUUUGGAAAAUGGAAAGGCAUGGUGGCUUCAAUCCUUACAUCUCUCAUAAUUGUAGCAGGAGUCUUAGCAGUGGGAUGUAGUAUUACUUGUGUGUGAGGGGACUAGCACAGAGAUUAAUUAAAACAGCUAUUAAUAAACAAUGCCAAUAAGUUACCAGCAAAAUAACCUGCUACUAUUAGAAACCAAAAUAAACUCACUCUCCUAUAAGGAAGAAAGUAAAUGACUUCUAAAGCAAUUUGAGGACCAAAAGGGUUUAGAUGAAAAUGAGACCAAAGGAAGUAAAUAGAAAAGGAAGGAAAUUUGUGAGAAAACAUUUUAAGUGGUCCAUUUUCGAGGCAUAAUAAAUCUAAGUACUGGAAGCCAGCCUGUGGAUGUAAUAAACCACACAGCUCAUGCACCCAGAAGGUCAUGAUAAGUGAACAGAAUGUAGAGGAGGGGUCAGCCCCUAAAAGGGGAGAAAGUUUCAUUAUUGGGAAAUCGAAACUGAAGUGGGGAAAGGGACCACGGUAUAACCUUAUAAGGGGGAUAAUAAAACUUAGGCAAUGUCCAGGAAGAUUGUAACCCCAUAGUACUCAACCAAUGAGGAGCUGGGGGAGGGACUUGCGUGCUAGGAGAUAAAUUACCUGUUGUAACUGUCCCCGGUGUGACUGCCUACCAGACACCAGAUCUUGCAAGACCGCCAAUAAAAGUCUUGCUUCCGCUGUUCUUCAUGUCUCCAAGUCCAUUCUUUGGGUUUGGAUGAGUAAAUGAGUGUUUCUCACAGGCGUGAACCAACAUCCCACCAGAAUGUUAUUGGUAGUAACCCGUCAUGGUUUCUUUGAGCCCCAGGAACAAUUAUUAUAGCCUAGAAUUUCAGAUGACAACAAAUCACAGCUCCAUACAUACGGCUGCACACAUACAGCCCCUCAGGGCAUAUUUUCCUUAUGGACUGUACCCCUAGUUCAGUUUUAAGCAAUCUGGAGACUGCUCCAACAUUCACUAGAGAGUUAAAGACUAACGUGUUGAAAUUUUGCCAAAAAAAAAAAACCAAGAAGGUGUAUGAGUCUGUUCUCAUGCUGCUAAUAAAGACAUACCCAAGACUGGUAAUUUACAAAGGAAAGAGGUUUAAUUGACUCACAGUUCCACAUGGCUGGGGAGGCCUCACAAUCACGGCACAAGAUGAAGAAAGAGUAAAGGGGCUUCUUACAUGGUGGUGGGCUAGAGAGAAGUGAGAGCCAUGCAAAAGGGGUUUCCCCUUACCACAAAACCAACAGAUCUUGUGAGACUUAUUCACUACCUCAAAAAACAGUAUGGGGAAAAUCGUCCCCAUGAUUCAGUUAUCUCCCACCGGGUCCCUCCCACAACAUGUGGGAAUUAUGGGAGCUACAAUUCAAGAUGAGAUUUGGGUGAGGACCCAGCAAAACCAUACCAGAAGACUUUGUUCCCUAAGAACCAACAGGAGAGCAUUAUUUUUAAACACUGCCACACACGCUCCCCAAAGUGAGGAACAAAAACUAAUCACAUCUUGGAGGCAGAGCUUACAGUGAGCAGAGAUGGUGCCACUGCACUCCAGCCUGGGCGACACAGCAAGACUCCGUCUCAAAAAAAAAAAAAAAAACAAAACUAAUCACAUCUUGUGUAGUGAGAAGCUAUCCUGACCAUUGCUACCCCUGAAAGAACAUAACAGAAAGACCUAUGAGCCCUGCAAGCCUUGCACUGCAUACUGCCCUAAUUUCUUUCAGACAGGAUACCCUGCAGGAAUUGAACUGACUCAUUCAGAAUUCCCAGGUCCAACAUCAUCCAGUAACUACUUCUGCUUCCCGUUCAGUUUCAUUUCUCUAAGGGAAGUUACAUAGGAGUUUUUCUGGGCCAUGAAGAAAUACAGCUGAUGACAAGCACUCUACAAUAUUCUGGGUCUGCCUCAUUCUACUUCCAGGGAAAUAAACUCCACUGCUUACUGAAACUGCAGUAUCCAUCAGUGGCCAUUUAGGUCUGCAACUAAACAAAUGUCAAAGAUGUUACUGAGAAGUUACCCAGAAACACUUGUCUGCAAGGCUCCUAAUGACACUCAGAUCCAUUGUAUUAGAAUAAAAAAACUUAUAAAUGUGACCAAGGAUUAUAGCAUAUAAUGCCAGGUGACAACAUCUCCAUAACCCCUUAUCAGCUCUUUUCUACCUGGAAGAUAAAUGAAGCCCCUAAAAUUCUGUUCCACAGGUACAUCAUAAGAUAAAUAGGCAAUCCUCCCAUUAAAGACUAUCUUUAAAGACUGCUAGCCUAGGCAUAGUAGAGGCAAGAAAAUGUUUACAAAUACUAUUUUGCCUGUUAGACUCUGGAGGAAGCAAACCAUGGCACCUGUCAUUGGAUACAUUAAAGCCAAGAUUGUAACUUCUUAGUCCUUUAGUGCCUACUUUUAACAUUUUUCUGCCUCACAAUUUUGCAACUUCAUCUCCCAAACUAAUAGUAUCAUAUGGAUUGUCUCAUGUUCCCUUCUACUGUAAAAAAAUUCAGUAACAAUUUUUUAAAAUAUUAUUAAUAAUUCCCUAAAAUCAUUUUAAACUACAGUGUAUGGAAUCUUUUAGCUGUCUGCUUAUAUAUCAGUAGAGACAUCUGUUUCUCAAGUGAUCCUGGCAGUACAGUGGUGUGGCUGCAGAGAAUGCCAUGGGCUGAAUACAUUCUUUCACCGGCUCCUCCACACUGCAGCUCUCUCUGGGUAUUACUGAAGAAACAGUAAGCACUGUAAAGCCACUCCAUUAGUCCAGUCAGUGCUUUCGACAUUGUUUCACAGUGAAACUCAACUCUUAAAAUGAUGGACAGUCAUAAAAUACUAAGUCACUGUACAUUUCUCAGGUUCCAAACUGCAGUGCCUUCUAGAUAGUAAAAUCAUUAUUUAUUCAGUAGCUGCCUAAAAUUCCACUUACUAUCAUCAGGGUGGGGAGUGUGGCAGGUGCAGUAAGCGCAGUAAGAAGUUGGAGUGACAGGAAUGCUUUUCAAUCACAUGUGAUGACUGCAUCAACAACACAUCCUUAUUAGCUAAGCCAUAUGUAAUUGGCUUAUACUAUUUAAAAAUAAUAAUGAUAAUAGCUCAGCAUUACUCAUUUUACUCUGGCCUCGUAUUACAGAAAAGAAAACUUGAGGUCAAGGUCACAAGGUCACAUACACACAGCUAAAUAGUGGCAAAACUGGAAUUUGAACCUAAGUUUAAACUUAAAAGCCCUAAAAGUGAUUUUCCACUUUAGUGUAAUGCCUCAGGCAUUUGGCAGUUAUUUGUUGGCAAAUGAACGAGAGUCAUUAUUUGUACAAAAGCUUGAAGUCAAUGUUAGACUGCUGAACAACAAAAUACAAACUCCAUGAUAAAUUGAGAGGUUGUAAAUAGAUGCUCUGCUAGUCUUCUACUCUGGUGAAAAAAAAAAAAAAACUUAGAGCAAUCACCAUCUCUUCCACCAAGCCAAAACUAUUAACUACAACCAAAUUUAUCAGCAGAAGAAAAACCCAAAUAAACCAGUAAAUUUUUCACCAAGUUGCCCCUAACAUCCUAGCACAUCUAGGAUGGGUUAUGGCACCGAAAAAAAAAAAAAUCCCCAACAACAACAACAAAAACCUCUCAUUUUAGUUUCUCUCUCAAAAUGACAGAAAACCUUCAAGAAUCAGAAACCAUUAAAAUAUAAUAAUAGUGAGCAAAGAAAGAAGAUUUAAAAAGAAGAAUCAGAAUCAGAAACCAGGCUAGGCACAGUGGCUCGUGCCUGUAAUCCUAGCACUUUGGGAGGCUGAGGUGGGAGAUUACUUGAGGCCGGGAGUUUGAACCAGCCUGGGCAACACAGUGAGAUCCUGUCGCCACAAAAAAUAAAAAGUUUUUAAAAAUUAAAAAAAGGGCUGGGCAUGGUGGCUCACGCCUGUAAUCCCAACACUUUGGGAGGCCAAGGCGGGUGGAUCAUUUGAGAUCAGGAGUUGAGACCAGCCUGAUCAACAUGGUGAAACCC